rnacentral:rRNA from 1 species
UACGUAGGCAGCGAGCGUUGUUCGGAAUUACUGGGCGUAAAGAGUGUGUAGGCGGUGCUCUAAGUUCGGUGUGAAAUCUCCCGGCUUAACUGGGAGGGUGCGCCGGAAACUGGAGUGCUCGAACGUGGGAGAGGAAAGCGGAAUUCCUGGUGUAGCGGUGAAAUGCGUAGAUAUCGGAAGGAACACCAGUGGCGAAAGCGGCUUCCUGGUCCAGCACCGACGUCAGGCACGAAAGCGUGGGGAGCAAACAGG